rnacentral:rRNA from 1 species
UGCCAGCAGCCGCGGUAAUACGGAGGGAGCUAGCGUUGUUCGGAAUUACUGGGCGUAAAGAGCGUGUAGGCUGUUAGGUAAGUCAGAGGUGAAAUCCCUAAGCUCAACUUAGGAACUGCCUUUGAUACUAUCUUACUAGAGAUCGAGAGAAGUUAGCGGAAUUCCAAGUGUAGAGGUGAAAUUCGUAGAUAUUUGGAAGAACACCAGAGGCGAAAGCGGCUAACUGGCUCGUAUCUGACGCUGAGACGCGAAAGCGUGGGUGGCAAACAGGAUUAGAUA